rnacentral:lncRNA from 1 species
AGGGAGAUUAUUUUAGUAAUAGAGGUGGGGCCAAUGUAAUUAUAAGAGUCUGGUAAAAGAGGAAGUGGGAGGCAGGAGAGUCAUUGUUAGAGUGGUGUGAUGUGAGAAAGACUUGAGUCGCUAUUUCUGGCUUUAAAGAUAGAAGGGGCCACAAUAAAAGGAUGGAGAGUGGCUUCUAGAACCUGGAAAAGGCAAGGAAACAGAUUUUCCCCAAAAACCUCCAGAAGGCCAAGUACGUAGUUGUAUAUCCUGGUUGUGAGUCCUUCUAGUUCUUCUAUGUGGGAUGCCACCACAGCAUGGCUUGAUGAACCACAUGUAGGUCCAUGCCUAGGAUCCGAACCUGGGAACCCCAGGCUGCUGAAGUGGAGCUCAUGAUGUUAACCACUACACCACCAGGCGGGCCCCAAGUGAGGAAGAUUGGCCCUGAGCUAACAUCUGUGCCAAUCUUCUUCUAUUUUGUAAGUGGGAUGCUUCCAAAGCAUGGCUUGAUGAGCAAUGUGUAUGUCCAUGCCUGGGAUCCAAACCUGCAAACCCUGGGCCGCCAAAGCAGAGAAUGUGAACUUAACCACUAUGCCACCAGGCACAAUGCGAUUGGAGAAGCACUAUCCCAGAUGCCUUGUGAGCCAGCAGAUACACCAAGCAGAGACGGUGAAUCAGGGCCAGCUUAAUCCACGAAGCUCAGCAGACACAGUGCCUAGAGCUCACACUUUAAGGAGCCCAUGAAGUCAUUUUCAUUUCUUUUAAAACAAUAAUUAAAAAGUAAACUUUGCAUAGAAUAUUUUAAUAUAUAAUCCUAGUAUAUUCAGCUUGUUACAAGCACAACUGUAAAAUAUGAUUUUUCGUGUUUUUUUUAUGGAAGAAGAGGCCCAGGAAACCAUAGGUUCCCAGGGCUCACAAAAAUCAUAAUACAGCUUCGUGAUGAAGAAGAAAACACUCUCAAAUGAAAGAAAUCCUAGACAGUGUCUCAGGGGCAUCUCCUUUUUUAUCUGUGUCAUUAAUUGUUUGAUCUGUUUUUCAGAAAGGCUAUAAACUCCUCCAGAAAAGAUCUUAAUAGAAAUCAAUAAUUUGUG